GUGCUUGCUUCAGCAGCACCCAUGCCAAAAUUGUAAUGAUGCAAAGAAGAUUAGUAUGGUACCUAUGUGAGGAUGAUACACAAAUUCAUCAAGUAUUCCAUAUUUUU
ensembl:snRNA U6 U6 spliceosomal RNA